GCCUACGGGGGGCAGCAGUGGGGAAUAUUGCACAAUGGGGGAAACCCUGAUGCAGCAACGCCGCGUGAAGGAAGACGGUUUUCGGAUUGUAAACUUCUGUUCUUAGUGAAGAAAAAUGACGGUACCUCAUGAAUAAGCCACGGCUAACUACGUGCCAGCAGCCGCGGUAAUACGUAGGUGGCAAGCGUUAUCCGGAUUUACUGGGUGUAAAGGGCGUGUAGGCGGGACUGCAAGUCAGAUGUGAAAAUUAUGGGCUCAACCCAUAACCUGCAUUUGAAAAUGUAGUUCUUGAGUGAUGGAGAGGG
rnacentral:rRNA from 1 species